UACGUAGGGUCCGAGCGUUGUCCGGAAUUAUUGGGCGUAAAGGGCUCGUAGGCGGUUUGUCGCGUCGGGAGUGAAAACACCGGGCUUAACUCGGUGCUUGCUUUCGAUACGGGCAGACUGGAGGUAUGCAGGGGAGAACGGAAUUCCGUGGUGUAGCGGUGAAAUGCGCAGAUAUCAGGAGGAACACCGGUGGCGAAGGCGGGUUGCUGGGCCGACACUGACGCUGAAGCGCGAAAGCCAGGGAGCGAACGGG
rnacentral:rRNA from 1 species